rnacentral:lncRNA from 1 species
AAGCAAGUAUGCUUUUGCAACCUGAAUUUCACAUGUUGAUGAAGAGGACUUACUAUCUUCAUAUUGAAGAAGCCAAUGUAUAGAAGAAUCUUGUGGGUGAGUUGGAUGGAGAUGGUUUCAUUAACUUGAAGACACUGAGACUAUCAAGUGGUGAUUUCGAGUAUCUUAUUGAUGCCACCAACUCUAUCCCUAAUGACACCUUCAGUAAAUUGGAGUCUCUCAAAUUGAAAUAUUUACCUAAAUUAAUAGAGAUAAGCAAUGGAAAUCUUUCAAGGGGUGUCAUCAAACCUCAAUUGUUCUGUAAUCUUAUGACGUUUGAGA